CCCUUAGAUGUCCUGGGCUGCACGCGCGCUACACUGACGAACUCAACGAGCUUAUCACCUUGGCAGAGAUGUCUGGGUAAUCUUUUGAAAGUUCGUCGUGCUGGGGAUAGAUGAUUGUAAUUAUUCGUCUUGAACGAGGAAUUCCUAGUAAGUGUGAGUCAUCAGCUCGCGCUGAUUACGUCCCUGCCCUUUGUACACACCGCCCGUCGCUCCUACCGAUUGAAUGGUCCGGUGAGGUUCUCGGAUUUUUUCUGUUGUUUGGUUCGCUAAACGAUCGAAGAGAGAAGUUACCCAAACCUUACCAUUUAGAGGAAGGAGAAGUCGUAACA
rnacentral:rRNA from 1 species